GACGAACGCUGGCGGCGUGCUUAACACAUGCAAGUCGUACGGUAAGGCCCUUUCGGGGGUACACGAGUGGCGAACGGGUGAGUAACACGUGAGUAACCUGCCCACAACUUUGGGAUAACGCUAGGAAACUGGUGCUAAUACUGGAUAUGUGCUCCUGCUGCAUGGUGGGGGUUGGAAAGCUCCGGCGGUUGUGGAUGGACUCGCGGCCUAUCAGCUUGUUGGUGGGGUAGUGGCCUACCAAGGCGGCGACGGGUAGCCGGCCUGAGAGGGUGACCGGCCACAUUGGGACUGAAAUACGGCCCAGACUCCUACGGGAGGCAGCAGUGGGGAAUAUUGCACAAUGGACGCAAGCCUGAUGCAGCAACGCCGCGUGCGGGAUGACGGCCUUCGGGUUGGAAACCGCUUUCAGCAGGGACGAAGCUUUUUGUGACGGUACCUGCAGAAGAAGCACCGGCUAACUACGUG
rnacentral:rRNA from 1 species